UGCAGUAUUCCAGGUGAGGAAACGGACUUCCUUUGGGGCAGAUUGCAAGGUGUUGCAUGGUUUUUUUUAGUUUGUGCUUUGGGAUUUUUGGUUAAAUUCCCUAAAGAGGGCAACCCCUUUUUUUUUUUUCCAGGGGGUUAGGUCGGGAACUUUAGGGAGACUGCCGGUGCAAACCGGGAGGAAGGUGGGGAUGACGUCAAAUCAUCAUGGCCCUUACGUCUUGGGCUACACACGUGCUACAAUGGUAGGUACAAAGAGCAGCCACCAGGCGAGGGGGAGCGAAUCCUAUA
rnacentral:rRNA from 1 species